rnacentral:lncRNA from 1 species
GCUCCAUGCACCGGGAGCCCGACGUGGGAUUCGAUCCCGGGUCUCCAGGAUCGCGCCGUGGGCCAAAGACAGGCGCCAAACCGCUGCGCCACCCAGGGAUCCCCUAAUGUUUAUUUUUUAUGUUUACCCCCUGCGAGGGUAUAUGCUAUAGCAGGCAUCUGUGUUUUAUUCCUAAUGUAUCUUAUGACCCUAGAAUACUGCUCCAGGCAAGCCAACCGAACUUGAUGGCAAUCACAAAUGUCACCGGUCAGCCUAUACACUAUACAUUUCCCUUUUGCUGGGUGUUACAAUGUCUGCUGGUUAUUCCAUCUCUUCUGGCUAAUGCUAUUAUUGCUCCCAGUAGAAUCACAGCGCUCACCCCACCACCUUGACUCUUUCAUUGAGCACUACCACUGGCUUACUGGAGACAUGGUGAUUACACAGAUGUCUAUAAAAACAGGCAAGAUACCUUUAUGUGUGUAAUGCUUUGCAGGAGGGGGACCCCAGAAUAUUUCCUUACUUGUAGAACUUUGCUAAGCAGCAUGUCCUAUUGAAAGAAACCAUAUUAUUCUUUCAAUCACUUCUGCUUUCUAGUUCCUUAGCAUUUUUAAAAACAUGUUUGAUUAGCACUAGACCAAGUGCUAGGUAUGCAUUUUUUUAAUUCUCAAAACAACCUUGAGAGACAAGUGUUAUUUUCCAAUUUUAUAGAUAAAUAACCCAAGGUCAGAGAGCUAAAUACUUUCCAAAUGUGUAGCUAGUAGCUCUGCGGUAGGAUUCAAAGCCAGGAUCAGUUGGAUCCUAUAGUAGAUAAUUGAUCCUGCCACCGGAGCUACUUUGCUGACCAUCCCAUCCUCCAGUAGAUAUGACUCAGUGAUUUGCUGUCUCCCCAGAGACUAUGAUUAUUCCUCUUCCUACAAGUAGCUCUUGACCAAUGACUGAAUUACAUAUGGGGUUACAAAGGGCUAACCCCUUGUUUCAAAGGGAAGCUAAUUCUGUGGUGCAGUUUACACUCCAGAGCUUCCUGUGAGAGCAAACAGAAAUUAGUCUCUAUCCCAGACACAGUCUUGCUUCCUUUGACUUAGUCUAUUUCUUUUACUUUUGAGAGGACACCCCGAUGAAACUUAUCUCUAAGGAACCUGACCUAGGAUAGACUCCUAACCCUCUUCGUUCAUUCUUUCUUUCUUUUCUUUUCUUUUCUUUUCUUUUCUUUUCUUUUCUUUUCUUUUCUCUUUUCUUUUCUUUUCUUUUCUUUCUUUUCUUUUCUUUUCUUUUUUUUCUUUUUUCUUUCUUUUCUUUUCCUUUUCUCUUUUCUUUUCUUUUAUUUCUUUUUUCCCUUCUUUCUUAGAUUUAUUUAUUUGAAAGAGAGAGAGACAGAAGAGUGAGUGGGGUUGGGGAGUAAAAGGGGAGGGGGAGGGACAAGCAGACUCAUACUGAGCUCAGAGCCCUGCACAGGGCUUGAUGGCAGGACCCUGGAGCACUCAUGUAAAUGGUAAGGCAAUAAAUUGAAAGCCUGUGGUGAAUACA